AUUUCCCUCACUUCUCAAAUAUUUCUCUCCACUUAAGAAGAAGAAGAACUUGGGGCUAGGGCUUGGAUUCAAGGCUUUCUUCAUCAAAUUCUUGCAAGAUCAUAGCAAAGGUAUGGUGAUCCUUCAUCUAGGGUUAGCUUUCACCCUAGAGUCCAUUCAAGUUAGUUUUCAAAGGUUUCAAGUUCUUCAAAAUCUAGGUUUUCACUCUAACUCAUGGGUUCCUUCUUCAAACGUUUUCAAAUGGUUAUUAAUGACUUAUUAUGAUUGUAUUAGUGUUUAAAUGAUGAUUUAUGACGAAAAUACUCCAUGAACCCAUGAUUUCUCUCUAUUCCUAGUUUAUGCCUUUAUAAAGUGGGUUGCUUGAUAAUGAAUGUAUAUGAAUCGAACUUGUUUAAAUGUCUUUAGAUUGUUGAAGUAUGUCAUUACUCAUGCUUAGUUUAUGGUGUAUUGUUGGUGUAUUGGUAUGAGAGGCUUAUGGCCUUAAAGGCAAAGUAUGAGAAAUUGAAGUGUUAUCAUGACAUUGUAUGAAUGAGAGUUCAAUGAAGAUAAUGUGAUCAUGUUAUGAAUGUAAAGGUGUUGUUGUAGGUUGUUCACUGGUUUGGUUGCAUAAUUACUACCCUAUUUUCCAUGCUCUUUGAUUCCAUUACAUGCCUUCAAGGUGUUUGACAAAAUGUCCAACUAUGGAGAAUUGAUGAAUCGAUGCUUUAAAGUUUGAGUUAUGAGAUGUAUGGAAAUCCAGAGAUGUGUUGAUGACACUCAUGAAUGUUGAUGAUAUAAUAUGAAGGAUUCUUCAAUAUAAAGUAUACCUUGAAUUGGUAGGGCUUAUGCAUCAUUUUCUUGUAUAAAUGAUUAUAUUGUUGAUUGUUGAAUCCUUGGAUCGGUAGGCUUAUGGCACCCUUCCACACAUGCUUAUAAUGAACCUUGGAUCGGUAGGCUAAUGGCACCCUUCCAUUAAUGAUAAGUAAUGAACCUUGGAUUCGGUAGGCCUAUGGCACCUUUCCAUAAAGGUUAAUGAUGAGACUUGAAUCGGCAGGCCCAUGGCACCCUUUCAAGAGGAGUUAAUGAGCUUUCCUAAAUGUACCUUGAAUCGGUAGGCUUAUGGCACCCUUUCAUGUGUGAUGAUGUCAAAGUAAUGAACUAUUCUAUGGGAAUGUAGGCUAAGCACCGAGCGGAUUUGGUUAGAUGGAAACUCCCCCGACAGUUAGGCAUGAGUUUCAAUGAUCGUCUACCUUAUCCCAUAAACUAUGUGCCCGCAUAGGAAGCUAGUGGAUCCAUUAAGCUAUAUAUACCGGUCUUCCUUAGGCAAGUAGACCACCUCUUUUCGGUGUGGGGACUCAUGACACCGGAUUCCAUGACAAGCUCUCAUGGUCUAUGUCGGUUAAACGCUUACUUCUCAUCAUGUGAGAUUUCAUUAUGGUUUCUUGACAGGUUCUACAAAGUGUAGGUAGUAGUAUGGGAUGCUACCUAUACAUUGCACGAGUAGGCUUGGAGAGGGUCAUAGUGAGUUUCUCUAAAUCCUAAUGACUGUGACAUGAAUGUACCCUAAAUGAGGUUAUUAAAGAAUGUUGGCUCUUAAAUGCUUAAUAUGUUAUGCAUGUUAUACUUGGGUUAUAUUACGAGUUAUUUUCCCUUGUCAUGUCUUAAUUAAUGAUAUACCUCUUAUGUAUGAAUAUUGUGCAAAGGUGAAAGAAAGGAAUGAUAAGUUACUUUAAGUGACCUAAAUGUGGUGCCUUAGUAUGGAUGGUGGUAUGGGACGCCAUCCAUACAUUGCACGAGGUAUAUCAUAAGGGUUUCUUGAGGUGAAGGUCCAAGGUAAAGGUUUUCAUGUUGAUAUUGUUUAAAGGUGAUAUUAUGACUUACUUGAUGUUAUGCUUGUCUUGUAUGUCUUUUAUGCUAUUGUUCAUGAUAUUUCAAAAAGGUGGCAUAAUGCAUGGUUUCUAACUAAAAUGUCCCUUUUUAAGCAUGUUUUGCAUGGUCAUCAUACUUAGUACAUUUUUGUGUACUAACCCAUAUUCUUCAUAUUUUUACUAUAAGUGUAGGUUCCGGCAAGUGAUCCCUCUUAGCUAGUUUGAAGUGUUGGAUUGCUUUCCUCCAAGACUUGGUAUGUCCUCAUGGAUUCGAGGACAAGACUUUUAAGUUCUUUUGUUCAUGUAAUAGACUUAAUAGACUUCUUUUGAUUGUAAAGGGCCGUGUCCCUACUUAUGUUUUGCGACUGUGUCUAAGAUGGCCAUGUGAGACUUAGACUUCCGCUGUGUGUUUUUAAAGUUGUUUUAAGAAGUUUAAAUGUGU
rnacentral:lncRNA from 1 species